rnacentral:rRNA from 1 species
GAUGAACGCUGGCGGCGUGCCUAAUACAUGCAAGUCGAGCGAACGGACGCGAAGCUUGCUUCUCUGAUUUUAGCGGCGGACGGGUGAGUAACACGUGGAUAACCUACCUAUAAGACUGGCAUAACUUCCGGAAACCGGUGCUAAUACCGGAUAAUAUUUUGAACCUCAUGGUUCAAAAGUGAAAGACGGUCUUGCUGUCACUUAUAGAUGGACCCGCGCUGUAUUAGCUGGUUGGUAAGGUAAUGGCUUACCAAGGCAACGAUGCAUAGCCGACCUGAGAGGGGGGUCGGCCGCACUAGAACGGAGACACGGUCCAGAAUCCUACGGGAGGCAGCAGUAGGGAAGCUUCCGGAAUGAGCGAAGGCCUGACGGAGCAACGCCGCGUGAGGGAUGAUGGUCGUCUGAUCGUAAAACUCUGUUAUUAGGGAAGAACAUAUGUGUAAGUAACUGUGCACAUCUUGACGGUACCUAAUCAGAAAGCGACGGCUAACUACGUG